rnacentral:rRNA from 1 species
CAGUAGCCGCGGUAAUACGUAGGGUGCGAGCGUUAAUCGGAAUUACUGGGCGUAAAGCGUGCGCAGGCGGUUGUGCAAGACAGAUGUGAAAUCCCCGAGCUUAACUUGGGAACUGCAUUUGUGACUGCACGGCUAGAGUGUGUCAGAGGGGGGUAGAAUUCCACGUGUAGCAGUGAAAUGCGUAGAUAUGUGGAGGAAUACCGAUGGCGGAGGCAGCCCCCUGGGAUAACACUGACGCUCAUGCACGAAAGCGUGGGGAGCAAGCAGGAUUAGAUACCCCAGUAGUCCCUGUCUCUUAUAC